rnacentral:ncRNA from 1 species
UAGUGUAGAGGUGCGUGUUUUAUCAGUAUACUAUGGGAUGUGACAGACACAGAAGAACAUAGUGGAAAGGAAAACAUGCCGAAGUUACAAGUAUUCUGUAAAACUUGUAGCUGGGCGUAUAUUUAAUAGAUAUGCGACUGUCAUCGACGAAAGUGAUGGAGUGCUACCA